AUUACUCCCCCAUCUACCACCCUUACAUCUGCCCUAUAUCUACAGCAGCUUCAAGUUGCGUCUCUGUUAUCAUUAAGGUUAACAUCAGCUUCAAGUAACACCGGAAGGUCCACGGCGGCGCUGUUGCUCCGGCGGCCCUUCUUCUUCCACACUCCAACAGCAGGUCGCAUUUACAAUCUAAAGCCUCGAUGGGUUGAUGAGUCGUCUCCUUGGCUCGAUUUUGAUCCUCGAAUCCAACCACUCAGGAAUCACGGCUGAGUAACCGACGAACCAACACCGCACCACCAGACGACCCAUCGUCAAUGCUCGGAUCCUUGUUGCUCAACUCAUCGCUUCAACUUUUACUUCAGCCCCGAGCAGGUAUUAUUUUUCUCUUCAACUAGCCUUGGUUCAAUCACAUUUGGGGUUUUAGUUAAAAUGUUGGAAAUAGUUGUAAAUUUUGGGGCAUAUGUGUAAUGUGUGUUGGAGGGGUAUAUCGAGGAUUUUAAGUGAUUUUAACAGAGGAACCAGUUGUAGUACAACUUCAGGCAUAUCACUUAUCAUUUACAUCAGUUAUAUUUUGGAAAAAUCUAUCAUUGUGUUCCUCUGCCAUGAAUUAACAUGUUAAACUAUGGGUAUAUGUCGAUUAACAUUUUUUUGAA